GGGGAAAGAGAAGCGCGGCGCGAAGGGCCGCGGGCGACCCGGGAAGGGAGGAGGGAGGCUUGGGAGGCUGGCGGGCGGUUUUAUUGUUUCCUUUCGCCCUCCUCCUCCCGCGCCUCGGCCCCGGCGUCACUGGAAAGCCGCCCGAGCCGCCCGGCGGCUGGUUAUUUAUAGCGCGGGCUGCGCGCGCGUCACGGAGCCCGGCCCGGCUGACGGGGCCGCUGACGCGCUUGGCCGCGGGGCCGAGUCCGCGGGGCUGCGCGCCGGGCGCCGGCGACAAUGGGCUUCUGUGUGUGCAGCUGCUGUCGCCGCCGGGGGCCGGGGGAGGGGGGCGGGCGACUCCCCGGCUCCCCUCUCUGUCGGCCGCGAGCCCCCGAAAGUAUGUCGAGAGAGGGGGAUCUAUCCAGCCGGGGGCGACCACUUUGUGAGCCCCGGGGAGCGGGACCCGUACCACGCGCGUCCAGCUGGGGAUGCGGUGACCGAGGGGCCGGGAGCGCCGGGCAGGUUCGCGCCGUGGACGCCCCCGCCCUGCGGGAGGAGGGGCUGGCGCGGAUUUUAGGGACUUCCUGGGAUGCGGAGACCGGCUCUGAACCAUCCCCUUUCUGCUGCGGGGAGCUGGGGAAGCUUGCUCUGGAGCGUCUCUCACGUGGCAGGCAGGCAGAGAACUUGCUGUACCUUCUAGGAAAUUACAAUCGAUUUGUAAUGCACUUUCGCUAAUUGAGAGUUCAAAAUUAAACUUUAAUAAAGCAUUUGUGUCGUCUCGUCUAAUUGUGAAA
ensembl:lncRNA